AUAAACUUGUGUUUGUAAUUUCUUUAUAUCCAUGAGAGGAGAGUAUUUUUGUGAUUUUUUUUAAGCAAAAGAUUAAACAAUGAAGAAAAUUUUUCACAGCCUUCUUUGCUUAUAUUUACCAAGGGUGCCAAUGUGGUGGCUGUAUCUCAGGUGGUAGGGCGGGUCGUCCACUAAUUGUAGGGUUGGCGGUUUGAUUCCCGGUCCACAUGACUCCACAUACCAAAGUGUCCUUGGGCACACACACAACAAUGACAGUAGAGCUACCAAUGCGAGGCGCUAGCCUUACAUCGGGAGCAACUUGGUAAAUGGCGCACUUACAUAUAGCUUUUAUCCAAAGUGCUUUACACUGUGUCUCAUUCACCCAUUCACACACAAACUCACACACCACUGGUAGCAGAGCUGCCAUGCAAGGCGCUAACUUUCCAUUGGGAGCAACUUGGGGUUCAGUGUCUUCGGCAUGUGGAGACGUGUGGUCCGGGAAUCGAACCCCCAACCCUGCGAUUAGUGGACACCCCGCUCUACCACCUGAGACCCAGCCAUCGUAAAAUGUAUAAAAAAUAAUUGAAUAAAUAAAAUACAGUGAGGGAAAGAAGUAUUUGAUCCCCUGCUGAUUUUGUACGUUUGCCCACUGACAAAGAAAUGAUCAGUCUAUAAUUUUAAUGGUAGAUUUAUUUGAACAGUGAGAGACAGAAUAACAACAAGAAAAUCCAGAAAAACGCAUGUCAAAAAUGUUAUAAAUUGAUUUGAAUUUUAAUGAGGGAAAUAUGUAUUUGACCCCUCUGCAAAACAUGACUUAGUACUUGGUGGCAAAACCCUUGUUGGCAAUCACAGAGGUCAGACGUUUCUUGUAGUUGGCCACCAGGUUUGCACACAUCACAGGAGAACCAAUGCACUAUUGUAGAUUUAGGAUGCCUAAUUAAAUAGUUUAACACAAUGACGUUCUUUAUUUUUUGACAGGCCAUGGUGUCUCACAGAAGAAGAAGAAUCUACCACAAUGCAUGUGUUAUAUUUAUGUUUGAUUUCCGGUGGAAAAACAUGGUGUAUUGAUGCUGCAAAAGAAGACGGAUCUUUUGGUAGGCUGGUUAAUGAUGACCACAAGCACCCAAAUGGCAGAAUGCAGAAGACUGAAGUGGAUGGAAGCCCACAUCUUUGUCUGUUUGCUUUAACAGACUUUAAAGAAGGAGAUGAAAUUACCUACAAUUAUGGAGGAACAGACUGGCCGUGGCUUAGAAAGAUUAUGGAGGAGGACACUGCUGAGAGCAAUGGCCAGGAGAAACAGCAGCCAUCACGGUCUACACCUUUUCUGGAUCAUAACACUGCUAGCGGUUCAUCAGCAACUGAACAGAGAAGAUGGAGCUAAACAGCGAUGAAAUAAUGAGUGAGGAAGGUGAGACAUGUGAAGAACUUGAAGACACUCAAGCAGAUGUGAGUGUGCCACCAGUGGACACUGAAGUUGUGCCCACUGUGAAGAUGAAGCAUUAUUUUCAAAGGUCUUCUACUAAAGGUGAUUGUGGUAAAUCUGCUUAUGUCAAUAUAUCUGAUGUAUUUUCCUUAAAGUUUUGCAUAGCUGAGGUUGGCUGAUGGUUAUAGUCAUCAAUAAAGUUAUUUGCAGUUAAUAUUAUAUUGGGACCAUUAACCAAUAAGCUUAAUAGACAGAUAUAUAGACAGACAGAUAGUUGGAAACACCAUACUAUUCCUGUGUAGGACCCCCUAUUGGUCUUGGAACAGCAAUCAGAAAGAAAACAAGAAAGGGAUGUACAUGUUCAGUACUUAGAUAUGGUUAUCACAUUCGAAUGAUUCUCAAUUUGUAUUAAGUGGUCCAAUGUGCCAAGGACAUUCCCCACACCAUUAAAACUACCAGUAGCCUGGCUAUGUUUCUCUAAGGAGUUAGCAUCUUUGAAGAUGUUAUUUGCAUAGGAAUCAAAUGGUAUCUUCAUUUCAGAGAACGUAAAUAUCAGAAUUGUGUAGUUUGCUGGCAAUUUUAAUCCUGCCUUUCAAUCACACCCCUCCAUACUUUCCAACAUAAGCAUCCCCUGGGACUCAGUAGGUUCACUACUGCAUCUUCUCCAAGAAGACCAAGUACUCUUAGCUAUUCUUUGGUACAUAUGCACAAACAGCAGUCAGAGUUUUCAUUCUUGAGACGUGAAAUGUAAGUUCCAGUCUGCAAGUUGCCGGACAAUAAUUGCUGUUGGGUGUAAGGGUGUGUGUUUGCUAUCUAACUAAUGUUUAUUCUUACAUUUAGGUAAAACAUCUACUCUGAAAAAGAGGAAGGCUUGGGAAGUAAAUGAGGUCCAUGCAGUGGAGAGACAUAUGAAGACCUUCAUCUUGUCAUGCCGUGUCCCAGGGAAGCUGGCCUGUGAAAACUGCAUUAGAUCUGAGCCUUUAGCUCUUAAAGAUAGAGACUGGCAAAGUGUCAAAUUCUGUGUCUAUAACUGCACUGUAGCUUACAAGAGAGAUAUAAACAAAGAUUAAAUAACACUUUGAUAGUAACACCUAACAUCUAUAGUAAUGCUUUAAUAAUAAGUUACAUUAUAUCUCUAGCUUUUUACUUUGUAAUAAACCAGUCAGCAUUUAAUUCAUAGUAAACUAAUCAGGAACAAAUCGGUAUUAUUUAAAAAUUGGUAAUAUUUAAAAUAUCCAUUAGAAUCUUUACCUACACCUUUCACAUUGAAUGUGAUUGAAUUUGUUUGGGCCACCUUCUUCCAGUGGGUCCUUAUGCAGUUGGCUGGCAAGUUCAUGAGUAAGCCUAUUGGGCAGUGUGCUACCCAUUUACAUGUUUAGACUGCCUUAAUCAAAAUUAGCUACCUCAACAUACAUUAUUAAGUUGUUACUGACACUUUUUAGCCUAGCCAGUUAAGUGGAUAAUACAGAAUAAAGGAAAAAAAUUGUUCUUUUGACAUUUGGGGUUCUGUCUUUGCAUCACUGUGUUUGGCUAGUAUCUUUAUUUUUCUCAGUAUGUUUAAUUUUGAGGUGGCUGUGUGUAGUAAGCAGGAAUGUUAUAUGCCAGCUUUGCAUAAAACUUUAUUUUGGUUGGUUUCUGUUUCCACAUCUUCCUGAUUCUGGAAAGAUUGUGUGUGUGUUAAUGAAUGUGCAAUGUAAAAGGUGUAGGGUGACUGUAAGAGACGAACUUCAUCAUUGAAAGUAUUAUUGAGGCUUAUGAUACUUUAAUGCAAUUUGUUUUUAAGUGGUUAAUUAUAAAGUAAAAGCUAGUCAAGAUUGCUUGAUUAUAGAAUGCUCAGUGUUCAUUGUUACUGAGCAUAUUUAUUUACUUUUGGAUGUAGAUGUAAUUUUUAGUUUGUACUUUCAACUAACACGUACAAAUAAGAAGUGUGCUUAACAGGUUUGUAAUACUCUGAAUGAGUUCAAGUUCAUUCAUGGCACAUGUGAGCUUAGUAGUUGUGCACUUCAAUGGGCAAAUAUUUGUUGACUUUUACAGUAAAGAAGCUCAAGACUCGAGUUGUUUUCAUGAUGUUGAAGAGACAAGGUUUAUUUCAUCUGACAGAUUUUCACUUUAUUAAAGAGUUCCAAACCAAUAAAGAAAUCCUUCAUGUAGCUAAAAUAUCAAAAGGAUGUGUUUCUUUAUCAUUUUGACUUGCCAAAAUGACUGAGGAUAAUGCUAAUUUGUGAUGCAUGCCU